ACAUGGGGAGACAGUGUUGCCAGUGAGUGCCAUGGUUGCCUUUCUAUUCCAGCUCUUUGUCCUGGGAAGAGUUUGCUGCAUCUUCCAGUUUCAGUAAUCAAAGAAGCAAAGUUCCCUGCAGUUCUUCAAGGAACCUUGAGAAUUCAGAAGGUCUUGGGGUGGCUGCAUCCAUCCUGCAGACAAAUGCCAAUCAGCAGAGGGGCCAUUCCCAGGGACACAUGUCUGGCUGACUUGGGCCUUGGCCAGGCUUUGGAUUCACCUUGAAAACAUCCCCUCUGAACAUCAGAAGUCCACUUGGUCCCCGAACAGUGUAUUAACUUCUAACAUUUCUGACUUCCAGUCAUGGAGAUUUCAAAACCAAUUGCAUAUAGCAAUGAAGCUUUUCACUUUUAAUGGAACAUUUAGGAGAAGGGCGGCUUUUCCUAUUUUCUGUGUUAUCUUCAGCCUGUUAACUGUUGUCAGCCCUGGAGAGAAACCAUCCCUUCUCCUUAAAAACAUGAACCACAUACUAAGUUGCUUCUUGCCUCUUAAAGAUUCAGGUCACUCAGGUACAUCAGACUGAGACAGGACGCUCAGGUACAUCAUACUGAGACAGGACACUCAGGUACAUGAUACUGAGACAAACACUCAGGUACAUCAUACUGAGACAGGACGCUCAGGUACAUCACACCGAGACAGGACAUGUUGAUUGUUGGUGUGUAUUUCUCCCAAGCCACCACUCAAACCAGUGUUUGAUUUCCAUGGAGGUUGGCUGAUGGCUUUUAGCUUGAGCCCCAACAGUGUGACUUCAUACAAGGCAAUUUCUUCAGAAAUAUCAUGGAACUUCA
rnacentral:lncRNA from 1 species